GACGAACGCUGGCGGCGUGCCUAAUACAUGCAAGUCGAGCGGACUUUCAAGAAGCUUGCUUUUUGAAAGUUAGCGGCGGACGGGUGAGUAACACGUGGGCAACCUGCCUGCAAGACGGGGAUAACUCCGGGAAACCGGGGCUAAUACCGGAUAAUAUCUUCCUUCGCAUGAAGGAAGGUUGAAAGGCGGCGCAAGCUGCCGCUUGCAGAUGGGCCCGCGGCGCAUUAGCUAGUUGGUGAGGUAACGGCUCACCAAGGCGACGAUGCGUAGCCGACCUGAGAGGGUGAUCGGCCACACUGGGACUGAGACACGGCCCAGACUCCUACGGGAGGCAGCAGUAGGGAAUCUUCCGCAAUGGACGAAAGUCUGACGGAGCAACGCCGCGUGAGCGAAGAAGAUCUUCGGAUCGUAAAGCUCUGUUGUCAGGGAAGAACAAGUACCGUUCGAACAGGGCGGUACCUUGACGGUACCUGACCAGAAAGCCACGGCUAACUACGUG
rnacentral:rRNA from 1 species